rnacentral:tRNA from 1 species
UGUGAUGAAUUUAGGAUUCAUUUAUAUAUAAAUUUAUUUAUAUAAAUAAUAAUUCAGUUAGUAGAAAUUU